UGAGUAACGCGUAUCCAACCUGCCCAUAACUAAGGGAUAACCCAGCGAAAGUUGGACUAAUACCUUAUGUAUUCGUUUGAUCUCAUGAGAUUACGAAUAAAGAUUUAUCGGUUAUGGAUGGGGAUGCGUCUGAUUAGCUUGUUGGCGGGGUAACGGCUCACCAAGGCAACGAUCAGUAGGGGGUUCUGAGAGGAAGGUCCCCCACAUUGGAACUGAGACACGGUCCAAACUCCUACGGGAGGCAGCAGGC
rnacentral:rRNA from 1 species